rnacentral:rRNA from 1 species
UACGGGGGGAGCAAGCGUUGUUCGGAUUUACUGGGCGUAAAGGGCGCGUAGGCGGCGUGACAAGUCACUUGUGAAAUCUCCGGGCUUAACUCGGAACGGUCAAGUGAUACUGUCGUGCUAGAGUACAGAAGGGGCAACUGGAAUUCUCGGUGUAGAGGUGAAAAUUCGUAGAUAUCGAGAGGAACACCGGUGGCGAAGGCGGCCUCUGGACGAGUUACUGACGCUGAGACGCGAAAGCGUGGGGAGCAAACAGG